UCGCUUCGGCAGCACAUAUACUAAAAUUGGAACAAUACAGAGAAGAUUAGCACGGCCCCUGUGCAAGGAUGACACGCAAAUUUGUAAAGCGUUCCAUAGAACA